AAAAACAUGUUUCUGUGUUGCUACGUAUGUGGCCAUCCUAGCUGGUUGGGUCCUUGUCCUUUGAGAGGACCGGAUGGCCCAGCCAGGACCUAGCCUCGGUGGCGAGGAUUGGCCAGUGCGGGAGGUGGGUUGAGGGUUCAGACAGGGCAGGAAUCCGAUUUAAUGUGGUCCAAAGUGGGGGCAGUGAGGUGGAUGCAGGCCAAGUAUACAGGGGGAAUCAGAGAGUGCAAGAGCAAAGAGGACAAGGACAAGAGUGAUGGAGUCACUGGAACAUGGAACCUGGAGUCAGGGACCGAAGUGAAGAGUGCCUGUGGUGCGAACAGGCCGCUACAGCCAGGAGAGUCCUGGAUAAGUGUCCCAACUCCGGGGGGGAUUGUCCUUUACAACGUUCUGGUUGGGGCAUGCCUUGUCUCCAAGACACGAUGUCAAGACUUAUUUUACGGACUGUGAGGUAUCCCAUUGGUAAAAGCUGGCGGUGUUAGCCUACGUGGGGCAUGCAGGAUGGGGACUUUAAAGCCAGCACAGGCUGAUACUUUAACCACUUUUUCCCCCGUUGCCCAGCUUGCAGGCUGCCCUCCAGGCCUCCUGUGUAAGAAUUCCUCUGGGUCGUCAGCCACUCUGCCCUUUGUACUUCAUCUCUUCUGGCUUCGCUCUGGUCUCUCCCCCAAAGAGGGUUUGAUAUUCAGGGUGUUUUCCUCUCCUUGCCCAGUCCCCUUGUGUGUGUGUCGUAGGCGUGGUCUGCCUGGCUUUGUGAUUCACUGAGUGAUGUAUAAGCUCAGGCUCCCGCCCAAGCGUUGGCCUGUGUGUGUGUCUACUGCGGGUGAUCAUUGAACUCGAGCAGAAUGUGCCCAUGCGCGGUGAAGACUGCCCUGCCCGGUACCCACCGGGUAUGUUAAAUUCAGGGGGAAGUGGCCUCAUUUUGAUCUUGUGUAUAGGCUGUGAUGUCCAAUGGACUUAAAAUAGCAAUACAGUGAUGCCUGUCUUUUAGUCCUUCCCUAUGUGUCUAGAGAAGGAAGGUUGAUGGACUAGGCUUCCUCCGAGUCCCUCGUACCUGUAAUGUGGAAGAUUGGUCCACCGGUGACGACUUGAUCCUUCGGCCGUGAAGACGUCUACCAACUAACUCAUCUGACUGGUGACCGUGAAGUCCAGCCACCUGUUGCCAACACUGCCAUGCCGAGCUGAAGAAACUGUGUGAAAACAGAGUCUGAUUGCCCAUGAAAGACAACGCCACCUUAUUUUGUAAAAAGAAAACCUGGAUUCUCCUAAGUCGGCCCCUGAAAGGGACUCUGCCCGUGGGGAUGGUGGACACGUAAACCCCGCAGCCCCUCAUCUUCUCCCAGGUGAUGCCUCAGUCACACUGGCUCCAAGGACAUGCUCCUGCCCUUGAGUGCUCUAGGUCAGACGUGGUGCCACCCUGCACAUACUGGCACAAGCGACCCUCUCCUUUGCUCUGUCUCGGAAAGUCUCCAGUGCGCAAGUCCCCGUUCUUUUCCGUUGGCUCCACGAUGACCCGUUGUAUGGCUGUCCCAUAAUGUAUUUAGCCUCUCUCCUGCCGAUAGGCAUUUGGGCCAUUUCUUAUCUUUUUUUUUUGUUCACUCCCAAAGUGUUUCAGUAAAAACAAUGAAUAACUUCCUUUGCACGUAUGUGAAGUAUGUAGGACAACUUUCUAGAAGCUGCUGGGUCAAAGAAUAGGUGCACCUCGAGUAUAAAUACAUAUUGUCAAAUUUACAUUAAUAGUGUUCCAAUUUAUACCCCCGCACCCCCCACCCCACACAUACACACAAGUAGUGUAUGCACUUAUCAGAGUUUACAAGAGGCCUAGGUUUAAUGUAAGGAAAUAAACCUGGUGGCCUGAAGUGGGAUAAUAUGGUUUAUGAGACAUGGCUUACCAGUCUUUAGUUUGUGAUCCAGUAGAGGAAUGCUUUGCUUCCUAGCUCUCAACUCGCUUGCACAGAGCAGGAACUCUCGGGGAGGGGGGUAGUUGUUUUCUGCCCCCCGCCCCCACCUGCCUCACAUCCUCCCACUUCUCUGAGCCAGAAGGGAACACAGAUGCCUUAGGUAUUGCAACUCAGGGAAUAGGACACAUAGUCUUUUUCCGAUUUCUACUGAGCAAGGUCGCCAAACAGAUGUGACUGCCAGCUGACCCAUGAGCCGGUCCCAGGCACUUGGAGGCUCCUCACCCCGUUCCCUGACCUUGGAAUGUGGGUUCCCCUUGCCUUUCCCAUUCCCACAGGCUGCUCCAUCCAAGGAGGUGGCCUUGAGAUGGUGAUGUGGUUUUGAAAACACCUUCGUGGGACACAUGACUGAGUCCAGUUAGAGUCUCUUUACAAACUUAGAUUUGGCAGGCAGGUGCAAGGAUCCGUUCGUGCUGGUGCUUCAGAUAAGCCUCGUAUAGAAGUUCCCCUCACUUGUUAAAACUGCUACCUACUGACCUGGAGUGGCCUAUCACUUCUUCAGACUCUCCCUGCCCUCUGUGAUGGGCACUGGCUUCAAAUUUCACCUGGGAAGCUCCUGGAAAGGUUGCAAACAAGCAAUGGCCAUCCUUCGGAUACCAACAUCUGGCUCAACUAGAACUAAGCCAGAGACUGAACACGAGGAGACAGCAGGUAGCAGAAAGAUUGAGGAGACCAAGGCGUCAAGGAAGGUAGAAAAGGGAGAAGGGA